AACGAACGCUGGCGGCGUGCUUAACACAUGCAAGUCGAACGUGAUUGGGAGCUUGCUCCCAUGAAAGUGGCGCACGGGUGAGUAACACGUGGAUAAUCUGCCCAGUGGUUUGGGAUAACACUUCGAAAGGAGUGCUAAUACCAAAUAAGCCCACGGAGACUCCGGUCUUUGCGGGAAAAGGUGGGGACCUUCGGGCCUACCGUCACUGGAUGAGUCCGCGGCCCAUUAGCUAGUUGGUAGGGUAAUGGCCUACCAAGGCUACGAUGGGUAGCUGGUCUGAGAGGAUGAUCAGCCACACUGGAACUGAGACACGGUCCAGACUCCUACGGGAGGCAGCAGUGGGGAAUUUUGCGCAAUGGGCGAAAGCCUGGCGCAGCAACGCCGCGUGAGUGAUGAAGGCCUUCGGGUCGUAAAGCUCUUUCGCAAGGGAAGAAAACUUAUCCUCUAACAUAGGGUGAGGUUGACGGUACCUUGAUAAGAAGCACCGGCUAACUACGUGCCAGCCGCCGCGGUAAGAC
rnacentral:rRNA from 1 species